GUAUUUGCUUCGGCAAUACAUAUACUAAAAUCAGAACGAUACAGAGAGAUUAGCAUGACCUUUGCACAAGGAUGACAAACAUUCCGGCACGGUAGCUCAGCGUGUU